rnacentral:rRNA from 1 species
UGGGGAAUAUUGCGCAAUGGAGGAAACUCUGACGCAGCAACGCCGCGUGAAGGAUGAAGGCUUUCGGGUUGUAAACUUCUUUGAUCGGGGACGAAGAUGACGGUACCCGAGGAACAAGCCACGGCUAACUCCGUGCCAGCAGCCGCGGUAAUACGGAGGAUCCAAGCGUUAUCCGGAUUUAUUGGGUUUAAAGGGUGCGCAGGCGGAAGAUUAAGUCGGCGGUGAAAUUUUGCAGCUCAACUGUAAAAGUGCCAUCGAUACUGGUUUUCUUGAGUGUGGAUGAAGUAGGCGGAAUUUGUGGUGUAGCGGUGAAAUGCAUAGAUAUCACGAGGAACUCCGAUUGCGCAGGCAGCUUACUAGGCCAUAACUGACGCUCAGGCACGAAGGCGUGGGGAUCAAACAGG